CAAACGCGAAAUGUGUUAUGACAUGCAAUCUUUGAGAAUCAUGAAAUCUUUGAACGCACCUUGUACCUGAGAGCAGUCUUUCAGGUGUGAAUGUUUGAGCAUGGCGACGGAAAUCACCAGGUGAUGGUGGAGCUGAGCACACAGGGCGGUGCUUGAAAGGCAGGCGUACGGGAGCGUGGCGCGUCUUGGGAUAAUUCCAGCUAGACGUGGCACGUGACCGGAUUAGGGUGUGGGUGUGGGUGUGGGUGUGCGAAGAGGGUUGGGCCGGUGCCGAUCUGCUGGCAACAGUGGUCGCGCAUUGCUCACUCUCAGUUGCACACCCACCCCACCCCCCUCACACACCCAUCUCAAAUCAUUCAGGAUCACCCGCUGAACUUAA
rnacentral:misc_RNA from 1 species